GAUGAACGCUGGCGGCGUGCCUAAUACAUGCAAGUCGAGCGAACAGACGAUUAGCUUGCUCCUUUUUCGUUUGCGGCGGACGGGUGAGUAACACGUGUUUAACCUACCUUUUAUACUGGGAUAACUUCGGGAAACCUGUGCUAAUACCGGAUAAUAUUUCGAUCCGCAUUGUUCUUUAGUGAAUGAUGUCUCUGCUAUCUCUUAUAGAUUGUCCUCCGCCGUAUUAGCUAGUUGGUAAGGUAACGGCUUACCAAGGCAACGAUACGUAGCCGACGUGAGAGGGUGAUCGGACAAACUGGAACUGAGACACGGUACAGACUACUACGGGAGGCAGCAGUAGGGAAUCUUCCGCAAUGGGCGAAAGCCUGACGGAGCAACGCCGCGUGAGUGAUGAAGGACUACGGAUCGUAAAACUCUGUUAUUAGGGAAGAACAAAAGUGUAAGUAACUGUGCACGUAUUGACGGUACCUAAACAGAAAGCCACGGCUAACUACGUG
rnacentral:rRNA from 1 species